rnacentral:snoRNA from 1 species
GUCAAUGAUGAAAAAGCAUCAAUGAUAAGUGGCUCUGAAACAAGUGACUCAGAAGAAAUACAAUUAAACUCACAGAUUAAUAAGUUUGGUAUAGAUGAGAUUCUGAGA